rnacentral:rRNA from 1 species
AUUGAACGCUGGCGGAAUGCUUUACACAUGCAAGUCGAACGGCAGCACGGACUUCGGUCUGGUGGCGAGUGGCGAACGGGUGAGUAAUAUAUCGGAACGUAUCCAAUAAUGGGGGAUAACUAAUCGAAAGGUUGGCUAAUACCGCAUACGUCCUACGGGAGAAAGCUAGGGACCUUCGGGCCUGGCGUUAAUGGAGCGGCCGAUAUCUGCUUAGCUAGUUGGUGAGGUAAAGGCUCACCAAGGCGACGAUCAGUAGCUGGUCUGAGAGGACGACCAGCCACAAUGGAACUGAGACACGGUCCAGACUCCUACGGGAGGCAGCAGUGGGGAAUUGUGGACAAUGGGCGCAAGCCUGAUCCAGCCAUUCCGCGUGAGUGAAGAAGGCCUUCGGGUUGUAAAGCUCUUUCGCAAGGGAAGAGAACUUAGUUACUAAUAUUAACUGAGGUUGACGGUACCUUGAUAAGAAGCACCGGCUAACUACGUGCCAGCCGCCGCCGUAAGAC